GGGCUCGCUUCAGCAGCACAUAGACUCAAAUUAGAACAAUGCAGAGAUUAGCAUGGCCCCUGCACAAGGAUGACUCGAAAAUUCGUGAAGCAUUCCAUAUUUUA
ensembl:snRNA U6 U6 spliceosomal RNA